AAACCCCGGGAUUCAACUGCAAAUUGAAAUGUUAGUGAGAGGAACUGAUGAAACCUGCUCAACUUAAUCAAGGAAUGUUUCACCUCGAUGGAGAUGUGACUAAGCCUGUCUUGUGAACAUUCAUUUGUUGUUAUUGUUCACCUCUGAUCCCAGUGUGAGAUCUACUGUGGAGCAGCCAAGAAUAGCACUGCUUUCCAUGCUCCCACUGCUGCCAGCUCCUCCUCUCCUCUGGCUCCUGUGACACAAGAUGAAGUUAGACGUGCCAGUGACAGCAUGCAUCAGUCAGGCACAGUAAGGUAUGUGCUGGGGAUGCUGCUGACAAGAUGGAUAUUCUUGGCAGGCUCCAUGACAUUUCUCCUUGCCCUUUGCUGAAGAAAGGAGGUCACUGGAACACCAUCAGGGCUUCAGGCAUCAACCUGGAUGCACAGCAU
ensembl:lncRNA